rnacentral:lncRNA from 1 species
AUGUUUUUAUUUUGAAAGCAUAGCCGUUCCUUGGCGUUGGCUUAGUUCACCCUCACGUGGUGGUUUGGCGUAAAGUGAACUCUAAAGUUUUAACCUCAGGAGUUAUCCAGCCGCGCCUCUAAUAUUGAGGUAUGAAUAUAAUAGGGUUACCGUGGCCCUCUAAUAGGCUGGUCCACGAAACCCGUCCACUGCAGCGACCAAUAUAUAACCCACCAAUUCAAUAAAAUUCAACAGCAUGACUUGGCAAUUAUUUUAUUUUACAACCUCUCAAGGCAAAUUAACAGUUCAUACAUUUUUAACAUAAAUACCAAUUCAAUCAUUCAUGCCAAUAUUAUCAUAAGCCAUUCAAUUCAAACCAUGAUUUAUAACACAACAAUUAGUCUCCAAUUACUCCAUUUUCAAAACCAUCUUUCAAUUUCAACACAAUUUUAUAAAAUCAUUUUCAUUUAAUCACAUUUUGCUUAUAAAAUAUAAAAAUUUACCAUUUAAACUCAUUUUCCAUAAAAUCACAAAAUCGGAUAAAAACCACUUUAGAUAAUUAAGACGAUAGUAAGGUUACUCACUAUUUCGGGAGUCGAAUUUCGAGUACUCCGAUUCUUGAUCCUCGGGUACUAUCUCUUUACUUUUGCCAGAAUGCUCACCACCUAGACAUAAUGCACAAUAAGCCAUUUACUACAUUUGUGCUAAAUUGUUGUAAAACCAAUUCAGGCUUUAUACUAAUGCAUGAAAUGGAAUGCAAAUUGUUCAGAUUAUCGUCUAAACACGGUGUUCUACACAAAUUCAAUUGUGUACCUAAAUAAAAUGGUAUUGGCCUAAUUCGAUCUAUCACUCAAUUAAUUGGCCAAUAUAUCCCAUUUUUAACUCCAAAUAAUUCCAUUUUUCUCCCAAUACUCCAAAUCAUCAAACCCAAGUUAAAUAACUUGAAAUAUGGCAAAAUCAUCCUCACAUUUUCUCUUGAAAAAUUCGGCCACGGUGGGUGCAUCAACA